rnacentral:snRNA from 1 species
GACAUACUUUAGCAGGUCAUAUAGUAAAAGCAGAAUGAUACAGAGAAGAUUGGUAAGGCCUCUGUGCAAGUAUGACACACUCAUUAUGAAGCAUUCCAUAUUUUA